rnacentral:lncRNA from 1 species
GACUGACUGAAGUUUUAAAAUCAUGCAACGUCAUAAAGCAGCAGCUGGGCCUGAUUCUCACAAAACCAAAACAGACGUGAUGAAAUUCCAGAUGUAAACACAUUUGACCUUCCUUUGGUCAAUUUGAUUUGGAAAAGCUUGAAAAUCAACUAAAGGAGCAGCCUGAACAAAUGAAGAAACUGAUGGAGUGAGGACAAAUGUCCAUACCACGCCACUGAUAAAGAAGUGGAAAAAUGCAUUACAAGGUAGCUACAACUUGCCCGUGACAGGGAUGGAGGAAGAAAGAAGAGAAAGCUAAUGUGUCAAAUGUCUACAUCACUAUUUUGUUUUAUUUUUUAAACAACAUUUUAAGUGUAUUAGGAUGUUCCCUGAUACUUGAACAAUUUGUUUCUUUCAUUUGCAUUUAUUUAUAUAUAUAUAUAUAUAUAUAUAUAUAUAUAUAUAUAUAUAUAUAUAUAUAUAUAUAUAUAUAUAUAUAUAUAUAUAUGUAUAUGUAUAUAUAUGUGUGUAUGUGUGUGUGUGUAUAUAUGUAUGGUAUGUAGGUAUGUAUGUAUGUGUGUGCGCCAAAUUCUGAAGAAACAUCUUGAUACAUUUUUAAUAAACGUAAUACAAAUAAAAUUAUAAAUAUAAAAUUGCACAAGACGUGUAUAUAUAUGAAAUGUAUAAUCAUCUCACUCAUGUCUUGCUGUUUGUGCAAUUGAUUUUGUUCAAGUUUAUUUAAAAAUAAGUUUGACUUUAUACUUCUGCAAUUAUAUAUAUAUAUAUAUAUAUAUAUAUAUAUAUAUAUAUAUAUGUAUAUGUAUAUGUGUAUAUAUAUAUAUAUAUAUAUAUAUAUAUAUAUAUAUAUAUAUAUGUGUAUAUGUAUGUAUGUGUAUAUAUAUAUAUAUAUAUAUAUAUUUGUUUGUUUAUUAUUAUUUUAAUGUUUUAUUAAAAAAUGUUUCAAGAUGUUUCUUCAGAAUUCUGCAGUACUUUUAACAAGUUUGACUUGGAUAUUUUACGGAUUGUCAUUGGUAUUUUUAAGAUGUUUCUUGCUAUAUCUUAAAUUGGUUUCUAUAUUUAGGUUUAUAUAAAAUUUAGCUGUUUGUACAAAUUUUUAAUUCAAGUCUAUUGGGAAAACAGGGUUGUUUUAAAAACAUCUGUGUUUGUGUGUAAUUUUUAGAUUUUUUGUUUAAAUCUUUCUGUGUCUUUAAUGUGUUGUUUUAUUGUUGUUUUUAUAUUGAUAUUCUUGUGCACUACAAAAUUAUUUAUAAAAUUUUAGUACUAUUUUUUUCUUGCAAUUAAUAAACGUUUAACAUUUA